rnacentral:rRNA from 1 species
UUAACAAGGUCUCCGUUGGUGAACCAGCGGAGGGAUCAUUA